rnacentral:tRNA from 3 species
GCCGGUGUGGUGGAAUUGGCAGACGCGCCGGACUCAAAAUCCGGUGGGGGCAACUCCGUGUGGGUUCAACUCCCACCACCGGCACCA